rnacentral:rRNA from 1 species
AACGCUAGCUACAGGCUUAACACAUGCAAGUUGAGGGGCAGCAUGGUCUUAGCUUGCUAAGGCCGAUGGCGACCGGCGCACGGGUGAGUAACACGUAUCCAACCUGCCGUCUACUCUUGGACAGCCUUCUGAAAGGAAGAUUAAUACAAGAUGGCAUCAUGAGUCCGCAUGUUCACAUGAUUAAAGGUAUUCCGGUAGACGAUGGGGAUGCGUUCCAUUAGAUAGUUGGCGGGGUAACGGCCCACCUAGUCUUCGAUGGAUAGGGGUUCUGAGAGGAAGGUCCCCCACAUUGGAACUGAGACACGGUCCAAACUCCUACGGGAGGCAGCAGUGAGGAAUAUUGGUCAAUGGGCGAGAGCCUGAACCAGCCAAGUAGCGUGAAGGAUGACUGCCCUAUGGGUUGUAAACUUCUUUUAUAAAGGAAUAAAGUCGGGUAUGUAUACCCGUUUGCAUGUACUUUAUGAAUAAGGAUCGGCUAACUCCGUGCCAGCAGCCGCGGUAAUACGGAGGAUCCGAGCGUUAUCCGGAUUUAUUGGGUUUAAAGGGAGCGUAGAUGGAUGUUUAAGUCAGUUGUGAAAGUUUGCGGCUCAACCGUAAAAUUGCAGUUGAUACUGGAUAUCUUGAGUGCAGUUGAGGCAGGCGGAAUUCGUGGUGUAGCGGUGAAAUGCUUAGAUAUCACGAAGAACUCCGAUUG